UGGAUGGCUGAGGUCUUCUCCACUUAUCUCUCUCUGGGGUCCAGACUGCUGAGGUGGCAGCUACUCAGAAGACAGUUUUAUCAGGAUGAUUGCAGAGGUACAAGAAAGCAAGUCUCAAGGCAUAAAUACAUUUCAAGCCCAUUGCUUGUCUCUUGUCUACCCACCUGCCAUUGGCCAAAGUCAGUCGUGUAGCCAAGUCCAAAGCAGUUUUGUGGGAUGAACUGCACAUUUACAUGGCAGAUAUACAGGAAAAUGUUACUUAUCAUGGAACAAAUAUCUCGUGUUUACUGAAAUAAAAGUUCUAUUACAUUGCUUCAUGUCAGAGUAUACAGAGGGUUUAUGUGCUUCUCUGGGAAGAAAAGGAAAUACAGCUGUUUUGCAGCCCUACUCUAUGUGAAAACAAUGAGGAUGAAGACCUUUAUAAUGAUCCACUUCCACGUAGUGAGUAGUAAAUAUAUUUUCACUUCCUUAUGAUUUCUUAAUAACAUU